rnacentral:lncRNA from 1 species
GAAAAGGGGAGGGACUAAUAGAAAAAGUGCAAAAUGAGGGCUGCCCUCCCUUAGACCUAUAAAAAGGCAUCAAAAUGCCUUGGGGAGUAAGGGUUGGAGCUCCAAAAACUCCCCCCAAAAUUAUUCUGCAGAUCUGAUCUUCCUAAUUUGAAUUUCAAAUCUCAAAACCUUCAAAAAACCAAAAACAAAACAAAAAGCAAUAGAAAAUCAAAAAGUUACUGUUAUAUUGAGGCUCUUAGAUCAGUUUCAGCUUAUUUUGGCAAUUGUUUUAAAUCCUUAGCCUAGUUUGAAGAGGAGAAUAGCUGAAGAGUUAUAUUGUUUGGUUAUUGAUGUGAUUGAGGUUGUUUAUGUGUCAAUUGCUACUGGUGUAUUGAUUGUGAAUUUCAGUGGUCUGCUGGUUGUGGUUUCGAGUUAGUUUGGGGUCCAAAUAAGGGUGUUUCGACAUCCUGUUUUUAUUACUUCUCUGCUAUUUUUUCUGGGCUCGUAUUGGCGCUGAUUUGAGGCUUCAAUUCCCUUUGUUGCUGCUGAUUGCAAGUGCUGUUUACUGCUGUGUUGUUGCUGACCCCGUUCUCUUUUGUUCUUACUCGCAUUCCAGGUACAUGCUUGAUCUUGUUUCGAUGUAUUCCUCCCAUGAAAUGGCAAUGCAAUUGAUAUCAGUUACUGCAGUUUGUUUAGGAUUUGGUUUCAUGAAUUUAUUACUCUAGCUCAUUUGUAGUGGACUGGAUCAAUGUGUAAACUUAGAAGGAUAGCUGAAACAGGAAGUGGUUUUGAGGUCUGUGAUCUUCACGCGUAUUAACAAGUUAAACAAAUGAUUUGAGAAAAGAUCAUGAGCUUCAUUCAUAAUUACAUUGGUUCAAUUUUUAAUUCGUGAAUCCCGUGAGUGUUGAUUUAGUAAUUUUAGCUAAAACUAAUUCAAAACAUAGUUAGUAUGGUGUAUAUUAAUAAAAUCACUUUUCCAACCUGUUUUCACCUUAUUAAUACCUGAGAUUCAACAGAAAGCCAGUAAGCAAAAUAAUUGGAAUGUGAAAUUGAAAUUCAAUGAUCAAUGCCUUGUUAAUUUGAUGUAGUUACGUAUUUCUUUCUUGUUACCAUUGUUGAAGACACCUAAAACGUUUGAAUUCAUCUGGUCCGACGGUCAGACCUCUUAGGCGAUUGGGCCUUGAUACCAUGGCAGAUGGCCCAGUCAGCCUCUAUGUGUAUUUGGAUUGUGAUGUCUCUACAUGGGCCAUUUUAAGGCCCAAAGCAAUUGAGGGAUUGAGUGAAAUAGGUUUAUAGACCCAAAUGUGGUGAUCCUUAAAUAAUAUUAAUUGAUUAGGACCUUUUAUUUAUUUUUGGAGACAAACAAAAAUAAAAAUAUAGUUCAUUUUAGGAUAUUCUUAAAUAAAAAUAAGACGAACCUCGCCAAAUAAAAGUGCAAAUUGUGGGGCCCUCAAUAAAUGCUUGUGUUAACAUAUAGAUUUUGGGAUGGGUCGUUUAGCGAAUUUCACGGCCUUCCCCAAAAUAAUAACGCGUUAGUCUCUUUAGGCGCGCUUUUAAUAAUAUUACAUUCCUAAACUCGGGUGCGCAUUGGUGCAACCCAAAUCCAAAUCUCAACGGAGUCGAAAUGUGUCGACAACCACGGGUGCAUUGAUGUAACGUGGUUCGAGACGCAUUUUUACGACAUUGCAAUUCUCAUAAAAAAUAUACAAUAAUAAUAAAAGCGGUCUAAAAGUAAAAAGCACAUAAGCUAGAAUAUGUUUUGAAAUAAGAUAAAUCCAAAUAUAAUAGUUGAGCGACUGUGCAAGAACCACGGAACCUGGAAAUGCCUAACACCUUCUCCCGGGUUAACAGAAUUUCUUACUCGGAUUUUUGGUUCGCAGUCUGUUAACAGAGUUAUAAUUUCCUCGAUUUGGGAUUUAACUGAUGAUUUGGGACACAUUAAUCUCCCAAGUGACGACUUUAAAAUCUCAAUAAUAAAUCCCGUUCUGAUUGUCCUUUAAAUGGAAAAACUCCAUUACGCCCUUACGGGGUGUAGUGAAAAAGGAGGUAUGACAUAAUCAACUGACAUACGUCCACGACUGAUGUUCCAAAACGUCAAUACCACACGGAGGGGGGGGGGGAGGGAGCGUGAUUUGUGCGGUACCCAAUUUUCGAUCUAGAAGAACCAGGUUCUUCAAGGUGUUCUAACUACAAAUAUUUGCGAAAUUAUAAUACAGAAAUAAAGAACACAUAUAUUUUACGUGAAAAAUACCUGGCUCAAAUUGUGAAAAAACCACGACCUACUACUCAGUAGGAUUUCCCCCAAACACCCACUAAUCUCAAUAAGCCAAAAACAGCAUUUACAAAACUCUUCAAAACUUCAACUGAGCUUGGGCCAACAACGGCAGAGAUGAACAAUGCACUACAACAAAAAGAGCGUACAAAAUAUCGAGAGAACAACCUCACGAAGAGGCAAACACAAGUGAUAUACUAACACUUAUUCCGUAAAGUUAUCCCCUAAACACGACUCUCAAACCCCAUAUGGCUACAUUGUGAAUACUAAUAAAUGAGAAGGAAGAAACCUCAAUUUUUAUAGAAGUCCAAACCUUUUUCCUACGAGAAAAAAGACUAGCAAAAUACGGGAGAUUUAUAAUUUUCUUCUAAAAAAAAACCAAUUAUUAUAAAUAUGUUGUCCGUUCCUUUAAGAUUAGGAAACUCAAAUAGGGCAAAAAUUUCAAGAUAAAUAACUAACAUUGUGAACAUCGAAAAUAAUGGAAAGAUUAAUUAAAAUUUCACAACUAUAAUAUCUACCUCAUACAGACGAUUUAUAAUUAAUAAGUCGCCAACUUUUGGAUCAAGUUCCAUUAAAUGGUACUUAGGACCAAUUGAUUUGGAUAUGGACCAUUCGAAAGUGGACUAACUUUGCCUCAACUGACUUCUGACUUAUAAUAUAUGCAUUUCAUAAUUUUAACAAAAUAUCUCGACAUAUAAAAAGUACAAGGGAGAAGAGAGUCAGAGACUAAGACUUAAUGAUACUUGCGUGCUAACUUCCUUUUAUAUGAUUUUUAACCUUAUUUUAGAUGUCAUAACACUACUAUUACUAGUUAAUACUCUUUUUCUUUGUUCUUGAUAGUUGAAACACGUAUAAUGACUGUUUAACUAACUAUAAAAAAUAUUGGGUUAAUUAUAUAAAUAAUAACCUCAAAAUUUAAGGUGAUUUGUAGCUUUUUUUAGUAAUUAGUUAAGAGUAUAAUUAUUACAAUCUUUUUCCAUUCACUCCUCCAUAUGUUCUGCUCCAUUUGGUUCACUUUAAUUGAUUUUGAGCUUUUUGUUUGGUUCAUAAUAUUUAAUUUUUUCGGAUAUUAAAAAAUUAGCUUCUUUUUUUUUUUUUCAAAAUUACCUUGGAGUAAAGAGUCUAUGAGUAUUUAUUGUAUUUUUAAUGAACAAAUUUAACGUUAAUAUAGUUAAUUUUAUUAGUAAAAUUUAUAUUGAAAGGUAAAUUCCGUAAUUUAUGGGAAAACAACUAAAAAUUAUUAAAAUGAACAUGUGAAAGUAUUAAUUUGAGAGAAAUAAAGUCAAGUACGCUUAAUACGGGGUUUGAUACAAUACAAAACACCCAUAUUAUUUGUUGUAGGAUUUAUCUUUUUGUUCACCAUAGAAGGACUCACCGUGACGUUUCCUAUAAAUGCCAUCCACUUAAGGGCUUUUGGAAACACUAUUUUUUGAAGAUUUUUUUAAUUGUUUAGAUUUCAAUGCAAAACAAUAUGUGAUGUUUGUUUGUUGGAUUUAAACAAAAUCUUUCGCCUUUUAUUUAGUUGUUAUCAUCUAAUGGCCUAUUACAUUUUUAAUUGGUCUAACCUCUACCUUUUUUGUGUCUAUCUUCUUUAUCUUAUGACUGGGGACUUGUUUCAUGCCCUCUUGAAAGCAAACUAUUUUAUAAAUGAGUUCACAAUGUGUCGGAAAAUGUGUUUUCUUUUUCCAACCUUUUAUAAUUUUUGAUAAUUGAUUUUUAUUUAUACUUGAUGUAUUUUCUGCUUUAGUUUUCUUACCGUUUUCUUGUUGUUACAAUUUUUUUUAUGGCUAUUUUUGUCAGUGUAUUUCUUUUUUAAAUUGCUACGAUUAUGAUUAUGAUUACCAUGAGCCGAUGAUCAUUCAAAAACAACCUCUUUAUCUAUAAAAGGUAAGGAGCGUUCACUCAAUCCUCUGCAUGCCUAAUUUGUGGGAUUACAUUAAAUAUAUUGUUAUUAUUUUCGUUACACUUUUUAUAAAUACAUAUACUCGUGAUCAUAAGUAAUAGAUAGUAUAUUGUUGGACUUUAACAUCUUUAAAGCAUUGGGCUUCAAAAACUUUAAGUAUUGGGCUUUAAAGUAUAAGAGUGUGAAUUGAAAAUUGGGGGAAAUAAAAUGGAGGGAAAAUGAAAAUUUCAAGAAGUGAGCUUUUCUCUUCCACUUUGUCCCUCAUUGGUGAGGGACAACUAUAUUUAUGUGUAUAUAUAUAGAAUCACUUCUUAAAACUCCUAAAAGGAGUUGAAGAGAAUGAACUCUCGUGAUGUCGUCAUUGCUCGACUUUGGCUUUGACUUUGAAUUUGGCAAUCGAUCAAUAAGAUUAUUUUUGGACAAAAUUUAUUUAAUUAAUUAUUUAAUAAUUAAUUAAACGUUAGACGCUGUCCGGGCGUGACCGCGAUAGGAUCGCGCCAGACUCUGCUGCAGAUUCUGUUUGAAGGCCACUCUGGCCGCAGUCCUGGAAUAACCGCGGUAGGACCGCGGCAGAUUUUGUCUGAAUGUCACUCUAGCCGCAGUCCUGGCGUAACCGCGGCGAGACACCUUUCCAGAAUAGACGUCUUUCCCAAAACGAACAUCACACCUCUUCCAAUAAAUGCUGAGGCAUGGCUUCGUUUUUAAACACACUGAAGACUAAUGAACUUCUUUCUUUCUGAAAACAAUACAUUCUAAUUCGCAGUCUCUCUCUCAAAUUCGUAAGUGUGAUUUGCACGGUUCUUUGAGUUCGUUGGUAUCCUGCAGUUUGUAUUGCCACUGUUGCAGGAAGGUUUAUUCCGUUUCAUCCUGGGAGGAUUUAAUCUAUUAUCUUGGUAACGUAUGAGGGGGUUAAAAUUCCUCAAGGACGCACGAGGAAAUAUUGAACUCGGAUAUUUCUUAUUCUUUGUUGUUUUUCAUUUUUUAUUAUUCUUCUAACAAUUUUUCGAUUUUGUGUUUUAAACAGUAGCAUUCACAUAUAUGAUAUCGAAUGGAUCGCUAAAUAUGAUUUUAUGUUAUUUUAACCUUUUGAAUUUUGAAAAAACUUAAAUAGCAGUUGAAUGCAUUACUUUGUGUAGAUAUUCAGAACAACGAACAAGGAAAGAGAGCUCCAAUUAAUGAUCACUUUUUAUGAAAGCUAAGAAGAUGAUAAGCUAAACAAAAUUGGAAGUUGUCAUAUUUCAACUACUUUUGAAAAAAUUUGGGAAGAGAAGGAAAGGAACGAGGGAGAAAAAGGGAACAGUAAAAGGUAAAGUUUCCAAAAUUGGCCAAUUAUGGACACUUUUCACUUGAUUUUAUAACAUCAUGGUUGAUAUACUUAUGAUGCCAAAAUGGGGAUAUAACCUUGGCCAAUUAUGAAAUACUUUUGUCUAAACUUGCUACUAGGUGGGCGUUUGGACAUAAGAAUUCUAAAUUUUCGGAAAAUUUAUAAUAAAAAAAAAUAAGUAAAAAUAAUAUUUGAAAAUUAGAGUUGUGUUUGGACAUAAAUAUAAUUUUAUUUUUUUUUUGAAUAUUUGUGAACGAUCUGAUAUUAAAAUUUUGAAAAACAACUUUUAGGCAUUUUUUAAAUUUUCAAAAAAUUUCAAAAUUUAUUUUCAAGUGAAAAUUAAAAAAAUUUAUGACCAAACACAAUUUUUUUUUUAAAAAGUAUAAAAAACGUUUCGGCAAAAAAAAUUAUUUUUUUAUGGCCAAAUGGACCACCCCAAAUUCGAUUUGGAUAUACCAACUAUAAUCAGAGUUCCAUUAUAUCUAGGUUUGGUUGUUUAGAUUUCCUUGUUGGCACACAUUAAUAGGCUGACAUCUAAAGAAAAUUUUAAAUUACUGGCCAAAACAGAAGUUUCAUUAAGGGGAUUAGAAUAGUGUUUAAGAGAUUCAAUAUUUUUAUAUACACGUAAAAAGAUUUUUUACUUUUAUACGUAUUACAGUUUUCAACGAAGAAGAUGCUGUUGAAGCUUUUCGAUAAAUUCGACAACUUUUUGGACUAUCUCAUGCCAUAACGACAACGUUAAUGGUGAUUUAACCAUUAUUUCCUUUCCUAUGCUAUUGCUGCCUUUUAUUGACUGAACUGUGUUUGAUUAGACUUUAAUGUCUAAUACCCGCCACAUUCACUGACUUUAGUUAACAAAUUUCAAUUAUAUGCUACUCCUACUAGGUUUCAAAUUGUCAACAAUAAGAGCAUUGAUGUGGUGUAAGCUAAAAAUGGGGAUGCAUAAUGUCAAUGUCUUGUUGUGGGGACGUUGUACUUCACUUUACCAACAGGGUCAUGCCCUCAUUCGGGUCGACCUUAUUAAAGUAAAAGUGAUGUUUUUUAAGGUCUUGUUUUUUUACUGAGUGGAAGCCAUCAAUUUUUGUACUUUUUAAUUAUUUCGAGAAAGGUCUCCUACUAUAUAAAGAGAAUAUUCACAUUAUAAUAGACAUCAUUAUUAUUCUCGAAUAA